rfam:Ciona savignyi cont_59063, whole genome shotgun sequence.
GUCAGGAUGGCCGAGUGGUCUAAGGCGCCAGACUCAAGAACCGAGGUUCUUCGCCGACAUGAGGUGUAGAGUAUUCUGGUCUCCGAAUGGAGGCGUGGGUCGAAUCCCACUUCUGACA